rnacentral:rRNA from 1 species
AGCGCAGGCGGUUCCUUAAGUCUGAUGUGAAAGCCCACGGCUCAACCGUGGAAGGUCAUUGGAAACUGGGGAACUUGAAUGCAGAAGAGGAGAGUGGAAUUCCAUGUGUAGCGGUGAAAUGCGUAGAUAUAUGGAGGAACACCAGUGGCGAAGGCGACUCUCUGGUCUGUAAUUGACGCUGAGGCUCGAAAGCGUGGGGAGCAAACA